rnacentral:tRNA from 1 species
GAAAUAUACAAAAAAUAAGCUUCUAACUUAAUAAUAAAGCAUCCCAUGUUUAUAUUUCU